rnacentral:rRNA from 1 species
AGUAACACGUGAGUAACCUGCCCUUGACUCUGGGAUAAGCCUGGGAAACUGGGUCUAAUACCGGAUACGACCAUCUGGCGCAUGUCAUGGUGGUGGAAAGCUUUUGUGGUUUUGGAUGGACUCGCGGCCUAUCAGCUUGUUGGUGGGGUAAUGGCCUACCAAGGCGACGACGGGUAGCCGGCCUGAGAGGGUGACCGGCCACACUGGGACUGAGACACGGCCCAGACUCCUACGGGAGGCAGCAGUGGGGAAUAUUGCACAAUGGGCGCAAGCCUGAUGCAGCGACGCCGCGUGAGGGAUGACGGCCUUCGGGUUGUAAACCUCUUUCAGUAGGGAAGAAGCCGUAAGGUGACGGUACCUGCAGAAGAAGCGCCGGCUAACUACGUGCCAGCAGCCGCGGUAAUACGUAGGGCGCAAGCGUUAUCCGGAAUUAUUGGGCGUAAAGAGCUCGUAGGCGGUUUGUCGCGUCUGCUGUGAAAGACCGGGGCUCAACUCCGGUUCUGCAGUGGGUACGGGCAGACUAGAGUGCAGUAGGGGAGACUGGAAUUCCUUGGUGUAGCGGUGAAAAUGCGCAGAAUAUCCAGGAGGAACACCGAAUGGGCGAAAGGCAGGUUCUCUGGGCCUGUAACUGACGCUGAGGAGCGAAAGCAUGGGGAGCGAACAGGAUUAGAUACCCUGGUAGUCCAUGCCGUAAACGUUGGGCACUAGGUGUGGGGGACAUUCCACGUUUUCCGCGCCGUAGCUAACGCAUUAAGUGCCCCGCCUGGGGAGUACGGCCGCAAGGCUAAAACUCAAAGGAAUUGACGGGGGCCCGCACAAGCGGCGGAGCAUGCGGAUUAAUUCGAUGCAACGCGAAGAACCUUACCAAGGCUUGACAUGAACCGGUAAUACCUGG